GUGAAAUCUCCAGGUGAGCCUGAUUAGAACCAUUAUGAGCAAUUAAUGCAAUCAGGGCUCUGAUGCUGGGAUCUCAUUUUGCCUGUUUGCGUUGUGGAGUCAUAAGCUCUCUUUAGUUUCAGGAUGUUGCAUGCUAAUCCUGUUACCUUUGGGUGUAGGGAGGAAUUUGGUAGAAUGUAGCAUAGGUGCCCCCAAAGGGCACCUAGCUGAUCAGCAAGCUGCUAGGGAAUGUUCUUCCCAGAGUGAUAAUUUCAAGGAACUACUAUGAAUGUGCCAGCAAUUACCAGAUAUGCCUGGAUUUGACUGGGGAGCAUCAAUUACUCACAACUUGGUCACGCUCAGGAAAAGAGGAAGAGAAGUGGACUCAAUUUAUGGGAAGUUUCUAUGUGCAACUACCAUGAACAGGAAAUGAAUGGAAGAAUAGAAUCUCUAUCUGCAAAAAUGUAUCUUGGUUUACCUUCUAGAUCACAGUGACUGUAGCUCCAUAUAGAAAUGAUUUCCCCAAUACAUCUGAAAAGGAAACUUGAGAAGGAAAAGGAGUAGGUACAUGAUUUUUGGGCCAAAUGUCACAGAAUACUGUUGAUAAGAGACUUGGGAAAAAUUUUAGACAUCCUGUUGUCCUGAAGGUAAUGAAGUAUCAAUGAGGAUCGACCGGUCGAAACUUUGGCUAGAGAGGAAAAAGAAUCUUUCAUUCAAUGCCCUAAGAUAUCUUUGCCAUUAAAAUUCAGCAUGCUUUCAGAAAACAGAUUGAAGAAGGAAUCAAGUACAGUUUUACG
ensembl:lncRNA